GGCUGGUCUGAGCGCAGUGGUGUUUACAACUAAUUAGUCACAACCAGUUACAGAUUCUUGUUCCUUCUCCACUCCCUCUGCUUCAGUUGACAGGAAGG
ensembl:misc_RNA Y_RNA Y RNA